UACGGAGGGGGCUAGCGUUGUUCGGAAUGACUGGGCGUAAAGCGCGCGUAGGCGGAUCAGAAAGUUGGGGGUGAAAUCCCGGGGCUCAACCUCGGAAUGGCCUUCAAAACUCCUGGUCUUGAGUUCGAGAGAGGUGAGUGGAAUUCCGAGUGUAGAGGUGAAAUUCGUAGAUGUUCGGAGGAACACCAGUGGCGAAGGCGGCUCACUGGCUCGACACUGACGCUGAGGUGCGAAAGCGUGGGGAGCAAACAGG
rnacentral:rRNA from 1 species